rnacentral:rRNA from 1 species
GACGUAGGGCGCGAGCGUUGUCCGGAUUUAUUGGGCGUAAAGAGCUCGUAGGCGGCUUGUCGCGUCGUCCGUGAAAACCCACAGCUCAACUGUGGGCUUGCGGUCGAUACGGGCAGGCUAGAGUUCGGUAGGGGAGACUGGAAUUCCUGGUGUAGCGGUGAAAUGCGCAGAUAUCAGGAGGAACACCGGUGGCGAAGGCGGGUCUCUGGGCCGACACUGACGCUGAGGCGCGAAAGCCAGGGGAGCGAACGGG